ACGCGGUGCUCUCGACCGCGACCCCAG
rnacentral:rRNA from 1 species